CCCGGGGGCUCUUCCUGCGCCUGCGGCCCGGCCCCGGCCCCGCCCCCGCCGUGCUCAGCGCGCCCCACGCCCCGCACGGGCCCCUCCCCCAGGGGGCGCUGCUGCAGCCGUUUGAUGCCAAACGCUUCCGGGAGGAGCUGGAGCUGCACCGGGCCGGGCUCGGGCCCCUCCCCCCGCACCGCGUGACCCUGGAGCUCCGCCCCCCCGGGGAGGGGGAGGGGCUGCUGCUGGAGCUGGAACAGGCCUUCGCCCAGCGGCUCCUGCGCGCCCCGGGGACCCCCCCGGGCAAUAAAGGCUGAACUGGGGGUCACCCCCGCCCCUCCCCCACACCGGGCGUGGCACCGCGGCUGGGGGCGGGGC